rnacentral:hammerhead_ribozyme from 1 species
CUGAGGAGUCCCAUAACAGGACGAAACGGCCGUC